CACAGUUACAUCUCGUGGUGGAAGAUACCUGUGUGUUGGUGGAUUUAUGAGUGAAGCGAAAUUGGAUAUCCUGGAAGUGCACAGAAAAGAAGUGUAAUUUCACUGCGUCAACUGUCAAUGACAUUGUGACGAUGGUGAAAGGUGACCAUGCUCAUCCCCGUGUCCAAGUAGACAUAAAGAUGAACCAGUUUGCAAAUGGUGCAUCUCACCUACUUCAUGUUGGAUGAUUUUGUAUACGAAAUAAAAUGGACGAAUUAUA